rnacentral:lncRNA from 1 species
UCAGAGCCAUAAUAAUUAGCAAUUAAGCUGCAGUGAAACGGGGGAGACGAAGGGGGAUAAAAAGGGGAAAAAAAGGAAAGGGGGAUCUGGAAGUCGCCGCGGCGCGGAUCGAUCGGGACCUCUUCUGGGCUUCCGGUGGGCGAUCCGAUCUGGAUUCUCGUGCCUCCGUGCCGGGAGAAUCGCCGGCGCCUGCGCCGCCGCCGUGGAGACUCCGUGGAUGAAAUCGUCGCACGGUGUCGAUUUGUCCUAUUUCUCGCUUGAAAAAAGACAGACCA